CGGGUGGCGCGCGCAGGAGGGAGGACCCGGGCGCGGCCCCGCCUGGGCCGGCGCUGGGCUUGCCUGGGCUUGUUCGGAGCCGGCGCUUCCCUCCGCGACCACGCAGAGCCGGGGGAUUUGGAGAUUUUGCCGGAGCCUCGCCGCCAAACUCGGGGAGGAGGGGGCCGGAGCCCGCGCCCCACUCCCCGCGUCCGUCAGAGGGGAGCGCAGAUGAGGAGACUGAAGCCUGGGGGGCCGUCGGGCACAGGUGCCGUGACGGCAGAGCCAGGGCUCGAGCGUGUGCGGCAUGAGCGUCACUCUGCUGCGACCUUGGUGGAAGACAGCAAGGCCCCGCCCAGGAGCUGAAGUGGCCUGAAGCCCUUGACAACUGUUCCUGUGGGCCUGGCGUCCAGCCACCGGACCCACCUUCUGUUGGUGAGAAUCAAUGGAGGAUUAUCCUCGCGUGAGGAUUAACAGAACAAAAAAAAGUAAGGACACCAGCAGCAUUUCUUUUCUUUUUAUUUUUUUACAGUUUCUGUGAGCAUUCCUGGCAUUUUCCCCAUCCCCCCUGGAUUGGGAGGACCUGCCCUCCAGGGAGUUGGUACCGUCAGGGCUACUCUCUCAUUCCCUUGGGUAAAAGGUCCCAGGAUUUUUUGAGAAAAACGGACCCACAGAAGAUGGAGGCCGAGUCAGCAGAGAGAGAAGGGAGAGCCCGUGAAGAGUUCAGACAGUGAGUCAAAACUCGAAUAUCCCCCAUUGUUUUAUUUAGUCCUUUACCCACUCGUGCAUGUGUCCACGUGUCUGGCACGCUCAGUGGGCAUCUUCUGUGUGCUGUGCCCGCUACCAUGCUGGGUGCUGAGAGACGUGGCCACUCCCCCACCCCGCAUCCUGCACCCCGCACCCUGGGCAGAGUAACAGAGGAGAGGGCACACCCUCUGCCUGGGGCGCUGUGGGCGGCUUUGUGCCCUGUGGGCGCGAGGACCACCCUGGAGGUCACAGCCAGGCCGGGCAGACAAAGGGAACAGUAUGCUUGCUUCCACCAGAAUAGACACCGUUUUCCUUUUCUGCCCAGUCAGUGUCACCCCGAACCUCGGGGGCUGUGGUGGAGCGAGCGCCGGUGGCCCGGGGCCCCAGCCUCAGCGCACAGGCCCUUCAGUGCCGUCGUCAGUGUGGUCGGUGUGUUUCAUAGCAUUUCCAUUUCUUCUCUCCUCUGCCCCUCGCUCGUCUCCUUAGUUUUGUCAGUGACUCUGAUCUCAGCAAGCCUUCUCCUUUCCGAGUUGCUGCUCCUAAAUCACCGUCAGUUAGCAUCGUGGGGGAGGACCGAGUUAAUGCAGGCGGUCUCAAGAGCAAGCCUGCCUCCCGCAAUGUCACGGUGAGCGAGGGGCAUCGUCUGGAGCAGGCAUUGCUGUGAUCCGCUGCUUCUGUUUGCUGUUGGUCCCCUCACUGACUUCCUGGACUUUGGAUUUCCGCUCAGUGUGACGCUGCGGUGGGGUGUUAUUCAAGGGCCGUGGUCGGCAAACUCACUAAUCCACAGAGCCAGAUAUCAACAGUACAACGAUUGAAAUUUCUUUUGAGAGCCACAUUUUUUAAACUUAAGCU